UACGAAGGGGGCUAGCGUUGCUCGGAAUCACUGGGCGUAAAGCGCACGUAGGCGGCUUCUUAAGUCAGGGGUGAAAUCCUGGAGCUCAACUCCAGAAUUGCCUUCGAUACUGCAUGGCUUGAGACCGGAAGAGGUAAGUGGAACUGCGAGUGUAGAGGUGAAAUUCGUAGAUAUUCGCAAGAACACCAGUGGCGAAGGCGGCUUACUGGUCCGGUUCUGACGCUGAGGCGCGAAAGCGUGGGGAGCAAACAGG
rnacentral:rRNA from 1 species